UAUGACUGACACGGAGAUACAAGCACAUACAUCACAAGAGGAUCCUGCUUCGUAUAAAACAAAAUUCAAGCAAAACUAAGUCAGGAAGACGAGUCAGAUAUCCUGAUCGCCUUCAAAGUGGUUAAUCAUGAAAUCUAGUGUGCAGUGAUUUAAAAGACGUUCAUGCGUGAUUCCAUUAAGACUAUAUUUUGGUUUUUUGUUUUUGUUUUCUGGUAAAAAAUGUGCAUUGACAAAGUGUUCCUUGCACAAAAAUGUGUCUCUCUUUCCGAUAAGUAUAAAUCACGUCCCUUAUGUUCACCAAAGUAGAACUGUUUAUAAAAAAGUCGUGAAACAGGAAUUUCAAUUUAUUCAAAUGUAAAUUAAUCAGACACUUUACAAAAAUAAUGUUCAAUUUACAUAUCAUAACAAUACAUCUAUAUUACAUCGGGAUUUGAUAUUUGGCAUACACAAUCAUUAGCAGGGGGUACUGCGGCGUGCACCUUUCUAGCUAUUUUUAAUAAUGAUUUACAAAUAUUUCUAGUUUUAAUGGCAGAGUACAUUAUAGAAUAUUUCAAGCCGGGGCUUAUGUAAUGUAUGAUACUUUAUGCCGAUCUGUUUAUGACACGUAUUUCUUUCGAAGUUUUUCGUCGAUAGUAUCAACAAAUGAUUUUACCGUAGAGUUUUAAAGGCACUCAGAUCCGCGAGUCUGUACGGGUUUGUCCCUGACUACCCUGUUGCCAUGACAGACCCAGGGUGACGAUGAAUUCAUAAUCGAAAGCUCAGUUAGUUCCCUUCUCUCAAACAAGGUGAAGCUCGCUCCCAUUAUUCUUAAUUUAAAGUGUUUUAGUUACUUACAUUGUUGAAUUUAAUUAUUCAUGCACUUCAUUUCGCCUUCUUGGUUUCUUAUUUAGGGUUAUAUUUUUUUAUAAAAACGUAUGCUAUUAUCGGAUAUUUAAUAAUAUUUUCAUCGGCUUUAAGUGUGUUUAAAAUGAAAUGAAUCGUAAAUUUGAAAUAUUUUUUGUCGGUUUUAGUGAAAUUACGUAGUCCUUUAAAUUAAACUCUUUAGGUUCAUGAUUUAAAAUAUUAUACUAGAAAUGCUAAAGGGCAUUUUCAGGAUAAUCUACUGUAGCACACAAAUAGUUUCAGGCAAUCUAACCGAGAGCUUCAACUUCGCGUGAAAAAACUCGACAUAAAGUUUUCUACGGAAAUUCUGCAAAAAUUUCUAAAAAUUUUGUGGGCAAAGAAUUACUUACGGUGGUCAACUUUGAACUCAGGAUGGUACACUUAUGUUCCGAGGAUGACGCUUUCUAAAGUGAGCACUGGAACAUCCUAAAGACGUCCUUAGGACAUCUUUAAAUAUCCUCGGACAUGCUUGGACAUUGACGUCUAAGUCCCAGGGUCGUUAUAAAGACAACUUUAGGGCGUCCUAAAGACGUUCUAUGUUUGGCCUAAAGUUAUCCCAAAGAUAUCCGCAGGACUAGUCGUAAAGACGCCGCAAAAAGACCUAUAAGAGACAUGAUUAUUUUUUCACGCUAAAAAGUGAAAGACCUCCCGGUGGGCACCAGCACAUCAAAUGGACGUCCUAAACACGUCUUUAUAUGUCAUGCGACAUGAAAAACUGUCGGUAAAUCUUCAUGCAUUCUGACCGAAAUUUCAUAUGCAGGUUACCUAUAAAAUCAUGGUGACAUGAAAAUAACACUUUCUGCGUGGAAACGCCCAUAUAGCUAGCUAGAAUAUACGCUUAGGUCUCCUCCUCGUAUAGCACCUGAGCCUCCUUCACCACCUCCACCUAAUCAUCCUGGAUGUGGUGUUAUUGAUGAAACAGAUCAGACCGAGCGUCUUGAUAAUAUUUUGUUACAAGAAAUAGAAAUGGUAGUUAUCGCCAAAAUGAACUAUAAUGAUCGUAUUUUAAUAUGACUGGACGGAUUCAUCAUAACAAUACUUGACCCGUAUUAUUUUAUGAGUGGAGUAUAUACACCAAUAAUUAAUUGACGGCUUAAAGUGAACGAGCAUGCCUUCCACGAUGGUUGUUCACUGAAACCAGUUGACUAUAUAAACUAUCCUGUGCAUGGAGAUUUUAAUCCUCUUAUGAGACUAGAUAACCGUAGACGCACAAAUGGUAAUUAAUCACGUCAAAUUGUAAAAGUAUGAACCAAACAAAUAAAUUUGAUUUAUGUAUAGCUUUUAUUAUCUGAUGUAAAU